GGCGGUGUUGAGUCGGAACCACAAUAGCCAGGCGAGGAAACUACAACUCCCAGGGCAUCCCGGAGCAGGCCAACGGGACUACGGGAAGCAGCGGGCAGCGGCCCGCGGGAGGCAUCUCGGAGGAUCUGGGUGCAAAAACCCAGGGUUAGGAGCGGUAGGCAUGCUGCGCCCCAAGGCUUUGACCCAGGUGCUAAGCCAAGCCAACACUGGAGGCGUCCAGAGCACCCUGCUGCUGAAUAACGAGGGAUCACUGCUGGCCUACUCUGGUUACGGGGACACUGACGCCCGGGUCACCGCUGCCAUAGCCAGUAACAUCUGGGCCGCCUACGACCGGAACGGGAACCAAGCAUUUAAUGAAGACAAUCUCAAAUUCAUCCUCAUGGACUGCAUGGUAUGGAGAGGGGAGCCAGACUUCCCCUGUCCCCCAAGGGGAUCCCAAGGGGGCGACCUGGACCCCAUCCUGGAUGGUUGGAGGGGCAGGGACAGGAUCUCCGGAAGAUUACUAAGAGUUGGUCUGCAGCAGCAUUUGUAAUAGGCAGGACCCUAUUCAUCAAGUGGUGGUGAGGAAGGAGCCCUGGACCUGAGAGGUCUGACUUGGGUUCUGGUCUCAGCCAUCCACUUAUCAGUUGUGGAACCUUGGGAGGGCCGUGUAGCCAUCACCCGAGUGGCCAACCUUCUGCUGUGUAUGUAUGCCAAGGAGACCGUGGGCUUUGGAAUGCUCAAGGCCAAGGCCCAGGCUUUGGUGCAGUAUCUGGAGGAGCCCCUCACCCAAGUAGCGGCAUCUUAAUGGCAUUGGUGGAAGCUGGGGUCAGAAAAGAGAAACGACCAUUUGGAGGGGUGGGGCCUCCUAGAAGAACCUUCUUAGACAAUGGGGGGAGAAUGGGACUUGGGUUUUUCCAAGAAUAAACUUUAAUUCC